rnacentral:lncRNA from 1 species
ACCGUGUCCCUGGCCAUGAGUACAUUUGCACAUGCGCUCAACAAACCUACACAAGACUGUAGCAAAGACCUGCUCUCCCAGAAGAAAUGCUGAUGAAUGGAUCUCUGUCUUUUCAUUGCAUACAUGGAUACGUAUUUCAGACUCUUAACAAAGUCGGCCAGGAAACAAAUAUUGAAACCCCAAACUCCACUGAGCCCCCUGCUAUGUGAAACAGAGAGAUCACUUCAAUUUAUCUGUGCCUCUGAAGCAAAAAAGCAGUGACUGCCUUGUGAUGAGACACCACGGAAAGUUCUCUGACCACAGCAAUGAACUCUUGGCUUGGAAAUAAAGAUGGUCAAAAACUUGUGUGUAGGAGGAGCGGGGAGAGUGGGGGACAAAUCCUCAGACACGGGCUGUGCACAGGAGGCGAUGGACAGUGCCCCGCUGUGACUGGCCCAUGCAUACAAUUUGUAAUUCUUAGGCUGUUUAAGAGAGGAAGGCUAAUUAGCUUGUGGACACAACAGCAGCAAGCUGGAUACAUUCAGCUGCAGUUGGUGGAUGUGUCAGAAAGCAGAAUGAACUUUCUCUCCGGAUGUGUGUACAAACUGGCUCUUUUCCUGCAGCUCAAUCUGCAGAAUAUGCAAAACAAGAACAUGGGAUAG